AGAUAGAUUAUGUUUUGUUAAAUUGAUAAUCAUUAAACCUUCAAUAAUUGAAAAUUUUAUAUAAAUAAUAUAGGUUAACAUGGUAUUGUGACAUAGAAGAUUAUAGAUAAAUGUAUAAUAUCUAAAUUGGAAAAUUUAAUAUUUUUUGAAAUGAAAAAGGUCAUAUAUGAAAUUAUAUUGUGAUGUGGUUUUAGUUAUUAUAUUAUACAUGUACCAAAGUUUAAGAGCAUGUGUGUAAACAAGCAUUGUGCAAGCUAAGUAAGUACAUUUUGAUCAGUAAUGUAUUGAAUUGCAGUGAAACACAAACAAAUAAACAGUAAGUUUUUUUCUGUGAUAAGUUUCCUGAAAAAUGUUCAUAUUUAAGACAAAAAAAUUAAUGUUCAAAGUUUUUUUAUCACCUGUAAAUUGAGAAUUAUUAAUCAUUAUGUUUAUUUUUCUAAAAAAAUGUUGCCCUUUCAUAUACAUUUGUUUUAGAAGAUGUUGAAAUCAUUGUCUUAUCAAUAGUUAUAGCAAAUAACAACAUAUUCAGCAUUUUGGUCACCCUAUUCCAGUACUUACUAUUGUUGGUGAAAAAUUAGCGUGCAUUUAGGAAUGUUUUUUUUACCAAUCAAAGCAGAUGAAUAUUAUUUUUGUUAAAUUAGAUGGCUUUUCAUUCACAUCUGUGUAAUAUAAAAAACAUUGUUGUAUUUUACUAAAAGCAAGAGAUGACAUUUGAUUACUGUAUUCAUGUAUACAUCUUGGAAGAAAAAUAUGCUUGAUAUGAAAUUAUCAAAAAAGCAUGAUUAAUAGAUGACAACAGGUGUUGUGGUACAUGAAAAUAAAAGGAAAAACUGGAAAAAUUCUUAAUUGUGCAGUUAUAUAAUUAAGACUCGCCAAUACUUUUAAUAUUUCUUCUGAAAAGAAAAUUAAUGUUUUUUUUUCAACAUUGGCAGCAAUAACUUAAAAAAGUCAAUUUUUUUAAAUGUCAUGACGCAAUAUUUUUCCCAUAUAAAUGAAUAAAAUGUAAAAAAUUUGAAAUUAUCAUAGUUAUAUCAUAAUUAUGUAGCUCUUAAAAUGGAAAAUCUACAAUGGAUAACAAAGAAAUAUACUCAGAAUUAAAUUGGAAAUCAAUUUGUUUUAUGUGAUACCUAGUCGGAAUUGAGUGAAAAGCAUUGUAACACCGUUUAUUUUUGGGUCAUUUUGCACUAUAAAAAUAAUCAUCGUAGAAAAAACGGGGCAAGGGAAUGACAUGAAAAUUUGUACACAAGUUAUUGGUCCAGACAUACAUUUACUGGUAUACAAAUCUCAGAAAAAAACAAAUAAGCCGUGCCAUGACAAAACCAACAUAAUGGGUUUACGACCAGCAUGGAUCCCGACCAGCCUGCUCAUCCGCGCAGUCUGAUCAGGAUCCAUGCUGUUCGCUUACAAACCCUAUUACAAGUAGAGAAACUGAUAGCGAACAGCAUGGAUCCUGAUCAGACUGCGCAGAUGCGCAGGCUGGUCUGGAUCCAUGCUGGUCGCAAACCCAUUAUGUUGGUGUUGUCAUGACACCGCUCAUUAAUAUUUCCAGUCCAAUCUUGUCAAUAACCUUUAGUGGAGUCCCUUUAAUUAGUUACUUUUUGUCCUAUUUCAUGUAUCAUAUUGCGUUUUCUCUCUUUCUGUUGUUUCAAUUGUAACAUGUUAUAUACACUAUCUUUCUUGUCUACUUUUUUAUUUUCAUUGAAUUGAUCAAUGCAAUAUUUGUCAAAAUUUUUAAGAUUUGAUCUCAUUUUGUUACUUUAGGUCAAUUUUGUACAGUUUCUGUUCAUCCAGUGGCAUCCAUAUGUUUACAGUUUUCUUUCGUUGUCUGUUAAUUAAGUAAUAAAUUCAUACAUAUUUUCAUAAAUUUCUUGCUAUUGAAACUAAAAAGAAAAGAAAUGUCUUUGUUCCAUUUUUAAUUUGAAACAAUGUAAGGGAAGUUUAGAGAGUUACAAGUUUGAGUAUCAAACAAUAUUGAGCAUGGGAACACCUUACACUGGUUGGUCUGACAGAUGUAUUGAUAGCAUAGGCAAAUUAUUAUCUCAAGGAUUUUUACAGUGAAAUUUUGUAAAAUUCAGGCAGUUAAUAUUUAACUAAAAACUACAUAACUAAGAAUUAUAUAUAACACAGUUUAACUAAGAACUACAUAUAACAGAACUACAUAUAUAACACAGUUUAACUAAGAACAACAUAUAACAGAACUACAUAUAUAACACAGGUUAACUAAGAACUUAAUAUAACAGAACUACAUAUAUAACACAGUUUAACUAAGAGCUUAAUACAUAAUGCAGAUUAUUAAAGUAGUAAAUAUACAUGUAUAACAUUGUUGAACUUAGACUAAAACUAUAUCACACUUGAACUAAGAACUUAACCUGUGACACAUCUUUUGUUUUUAUCCUUUUCAAGUAUAUGUAAGGAUUGUGUAUAUUAUAUAUUUGUGAAAUAUUGAAAUAAAUAUGUUUAAAUUAAUAUGUUGAACUAAGAACUAAAUAUAUAACAAAAUUUAACUUGGGACAGAAUUUAACAAUUUAACUGAAAGCUUAAUAUAUAACACAUUUCAACAAAGAACUAACUAUAUAACACAGUUUAACAAAGAACUAAAUAUAUGAUGCUUGAUUUUAAAGGAUUGUAAGAAACAAAUCUUUUUUUUAAAAAAACAUUUUAAGCAUGCACAUUCCCACAAGCUUUUAUCUCUAUGUAAUUACCAAGUCAUUUUUAUCAUUACGUUUUGUUUGUUUACAUAAAUUGUAUCUACAUUAUUGUCCAUUUCAUUAUUAUUAAAUAAAUGUUUUUUAAUCAACAAGUUUUUUCUAUGACAUUUAAAUGAUUUGCUUGUAUGUUACAUAUAUACAUAUAUAUGUAUUGAUUUUAUAAAUAUUGUGUACAUAAUGAUUGAAUAAUGAUGUGGUACUGGUUAACAUGAUUUGAAAUAGUCAUGUUCAUAAAUACGGGUACGAUUGACAGAUAUGUUCUAAUGAUAAAGUUUGUAAAUAAAUAUAUAUGUAUAUAAUGUUGUUUUUUUCUUUGUAAAUAAUUUGUGUAAAUAAUUGUUGUUUUUCUUUGUUGUUAUUUACACUGUAUUAUAAUUGUACAUGAAUUAUUGAGAUAUUGUGCGUAUCUCUGCUGGACAGGAUAGGGUAGGGAGAUGUAAGCCUGGGGGGGGGGGGGGGAAGGGGCGAGGGGAAAAGAGACACAGGGGUUGGGUCAUUGGAAUCUCUAAUACAGUAUGUUAAAGAAAUAUUGAAAGUUUCAGAAAAGUAUGCUUGGUGCAUAAUUAUAUAUAAUUAUAAUAUACCCUAUUUGAAUCUUUCGGACAUAAAAAGAAACACAGUUAUUCUAAAUGUUUAGAAAUAAGUUAACAAAAAGGACUUCUUAUUACUUAUUCAGAUUGGUAGACAUACUUGUUGGGUUUAGUAUACAAGGAAAAAAAUGUUAAUUAUUUGAUAAAUUGUAUUUUCCUCUUCACAGAUCUGUCUGCAUCAUUAUUAUUUGUGAUUGUUUUUGUUUGUAAACUCAGCAUUUUAAUAUUAAGAAUUCAUCAAAUUUUUCUUUAUCUUACUUAGAAUAAAUCAACAUGCAUGUCCAGAUACAGUGUUGUCACAAUUAAAAAAAAAACACAUACACAUGAAAAAUUUGUUGAUAAUGUGAGACAAUGAUAAUGUACACAAUUUUUACUUCUGUUAAAUAAGUAACUAGUGUCUUAAAAUGGAAUCUUAAGUUUUAUAUCUAUUUAUAUUACCAUGGUAACAGUUAUUUCAUAUGUAUCUCUGAUUUCAGAAGGUGUUUUUGUAUUAUGCCUCAUAUCUUUCAUUGUAAUUAAAAAGAAACAAUAUAAAUCACUAAAUGUUAUUUUGAAUAUUGAAUGUAACCCUAUAUUAUGUAAAGCCCAAUAAAAUAUUGAGUUAUGUUGAUCAUUAUAU